UUCAAUCCGUCUGGCUUUCUUUAGUAAUGUAAGAAUCCCUGGAAUUUUUUCAAACAAUUAUAUGACCAAUUGCAUUGCUUGCAUUCAAUACAAAGAAAUGGCCUCUACUCUGGUCUCCAGCUCCUCUGAAGUGCAGACCAUUAGCCACCAUCCAUCCAUCCAGGAUGAAAUACUAAAGCUGUCUAAAGCUGGGACUACAUCUUUAAAAAACAAUGAAGCAGCCCAGGCUCUGAGCAUGUUCAAGAAAGCGUACAUUCUGGCUGAUGGGGUUCCUGAGACGCAAAGUCAGAAGAUGUGCCUCUUCAAUCUAGGGGCUGCCUAUAUUGCUAUGGGCAAACCAAAGAAAGGACUGAAGUGCCUGCUGAAGUGUAAAUCAAAGGGAUCUGUGGAGAAAGAUGGUGAUUUCUACUUUAACAUUGCAGCUGCUUAUGAUGAAAUGAAGGAGUACUCUAAAGCGGUGAAGUUUUACCAGAGAGCUAUUAGUGAAUACAUACCUAGUGAAACACAAAGCAUCUCAGAUGCUUUGAUCAAACUUGGCUAUUGUUCAGUGAAUGUAGGAGACCUUCCCUCAGCUGCACGUUCCUUUAAGCUUGCCAGCCACUCCUACCAAAAGACAGAGAAAACUGAAGAUGCUGCCAUGGCCAUGAGGGAGGCAGUCAGCUAUAUGAUACGGAGUCAAAAGUUCUCAAAGGCAGAAGUGCUCAAGACUUUAGCUGAAUGUGCACAGCUGUGUUCUGGAAUCACUAACCAGGAUUUGUUAGGCAAACUCUACAACCACAUUGGAUUGCACUAUGCUGAAAUGAUGUGCUUCCACCAAGCUGGGAAAUACUUUAUCAAAGCCAUGCAAAUCUGCAGUGGGGCAAACUUUUCUAUACGGAAGAGAGCUGUAUUACUACAAAACCUGGGAGCGAUCUACAAUGCUUUACGCCAGUAUGAAAAGUCAUUGAGAUUUCACGGCGAGGCAGCACAUCUGUACGGUGCACUGAGAGAGAGAAACGCCCAAGGACAAAGUCUCUGCAAUUUAGCAUAUGCUUACAGCCAGCUGAAAAACUAUGACAUGGCAGAGUAUUACUAUCAAGAGGCACUUAAUGCAUUUGUGGAUGUGGGUGAUUUAUAUGGCCAGCAACAAGUCUGCGAAGGAUUGGGUGCUACUAGUUUCUGCCUAGGUGAUGUAGAUCAGGCCAUCUCGUAUUACAAACAAGCUCUGACUCUGUUUGGAAAGUCAAAGGAAACAUCUGAUCUCUCCAGAGAAAGGGUUUUAGGGAAACUGAGGGAUGCUGUUAAGUAUCAAACCAGUCAUCAGUGUCCUGUUUCAUGCAAAGAUAGCUUUUCAAACACAAUAGCAGCUGUAAGUUUAGGGCAAGGAGAAUCAUUACAAAACAUGAAAACAAAAGCUAACUUUAAAAAUCAUUGCUGAUUUGCUGGACUCCCUUUCUUCCUCCUGCUAGUUGCUAACAAGCACAGUGUGUGCUGUAGCACUUGGCAUUCAGCUAGAAAGGGAAGGUGAGCAGCAGCUGUCCCAUCUGUGUUGCAAUAGAGGUAGCACUGGUGGAUAACAGAAUGAGCUCUCUGGAACACAUGCAGUCUUCAGCUUUGUCCAGAGCCUUGAGUCAGAGGGGAAAAGAUCCCUGGUGAUCUAAACUUAUCCCCUUCUGAUCUCACAUCCAUGUGCCGGAGGAUCCCCUCAACAGCUCUCAUCUAGUCAAAAGUUGGUCCAAUAAGAGAUAUUAUCUCACCCACCUUCUCCCUUUGUUUAGUGAUAACCAGAGCAAUAGGAAACAUUCAGCUGGGGACUGACUAUCUAAAGACUAGACUAGACUGAACGCCAGUACAAGGGCUGAGGAUUAAUUUGGUGGAACUGUGUGCACAUCAGAGGCAGCCAGAAAGUAGGCAGAAGGGACCAGAAAAGUGAGAAGAUAGCCAGUUAAGCUUUUGUAUGAUGGACUUGAGAGGAAGCCAAGACAUUUUUUAGGCAAAGUUCUGGCUGGAAAGUAAGGCCUGGAAUGAUGGGCAGUGGGUAGUGGGAGGUUGUGUCUCCCCAAACAGCCUUGCGUGGUCCCGCCCACACUCCGUCCCCAGCCCCCUUCCUGCUUCCCGGGCUGUGCUGCAGGGGACUCUUCCCCGCCAUGGCUGGGGCCCCAAGCUGAGGUGAGGGCAUAUGGGGCCUGCGCUCCAGGGCUGCGUCCAGCGUGCUGCCUAGGGUUGCCAGGUGUCUGUUUUUCAACUAGAACAUGUGGUCGAAAAGGGACCCUCCCCAGCCCGGUGAAAAUGAGCAACAAUCUUCUCCCAAAGUUGCCAGAG